GGAUAUAUCGGCCUUGAGAUAUCGAAUAUAGUAUUUAUGAUUUUUAUGUGGAUUUAUGGAAAUGGUUUUCUACCCUUCGUGAUUGCGCUUUAUGGAAAAGGUUUCUGUAUGUAAAACGGUUUCAAAAAGGAUUUUUCGUUUUUCAUGAUUCUAGUAUUUCAAAAUGAAUUUUCGGGUGAAAAAUAUUUUAAAUUAAUAGAUGUGGAUUUAUGAAUGAAACAUUAUAAUCUUGUGAUGUGGUAAAUGUAUAUAGUUUUUAUAUGUUUGUGGUUGUACUUGU
rnacentral:lncRNA from 1 species